GGAUUUCACUGUGCUGAACACGGACACUCAUUUAAAAGUUUCCAGGUGCAUAAAAACCAAGAAAAACUAAAGUGAACAACAUGUAUGAACUUUUGACACUAUAAAGCUCACAAAGGAUAAAGGCAGGAAACAAGAAGCAAAUCAGAGCAAGAGAAAUAUUCCUAGUGGAAAGAAAAUGUACUAAGAAAGAAAAGCCAGCUGACCACCCAACAUUAGAGAAGUUGUGAAAGUCACCAAGUUUGCUGACAUCAGCCUUGGGCCAUUUCGUCUUUCAAGGAAGCCUACAAAAAAAGAAAAAGAAGAAGAAGAAGAAGAAGAAGAAGAAGAAGAAGAAGAAGAAGAAGAAGAAGAAAAGCAAGAGUC
rnacentral:lncRNA from 1 species